rnacentral:rRNA from 1 species
CCUACGGGAGGCUGCAGUGGGGAAUAUUGGACAAUGGGCGAAAGCCUGAUCCAGCCAUGCCGCGUGUGUGAAGAAGGCCUUCGGGUUGUAAAGCACUUUCAGUGGGGAAGAAAGCCUUGGGGCUAAUACCCUCGAGGAAGGACAUCACCCACAGAAGAAGCACCGGCUAACUCCGUGCCAGCAGCCGCGGUAAUACGGAGGGUGCGAGCGUUAAUCGGAAUUACUGGGCGUAAAGCGCGCGUAGGCGGUCUGAUAAGCCGGUUGUGAAAGCCCCGGGCUCAACCUGGGAACGGCAUCCGGAACUGUCAGGCUAGAGUGCAGGAGAGGAAGGUAGAAUUCCCGGUGUAGCGGUGAAAUGCGUAGAGAUCGGGAGGAAUACCAGUGGAGAAGGCGGCCUUCUGGACUGACACUGACGCUGAGGUGCGAAAGCGUGGGUAGCAAACAGGAUUAGAUCCCCAGUAGUC